rnacentral:lncRNA from 1 species
AGCUUUAUGGCACGGUUCAAACCAGUUAAUCUUCGUUACUGUGGUUUCACAAAUGAGAAGGCAAAGGUACGGAGCCAAUUACAUAUACUACUGAUAUUUUCUUCUAUAAUAUUCAAUCAAAAUUUUAUAUUAAAUCUUUGAAACGGUUUGAAUGUGUAUUAAAAAUUAUGAUCCCUUUUAUUUGAUAACUCUUAUUUCACGAGCACCUACUGCAAAAGCUUCUGAUGAUGGUGAUUAUGAGAAACAAACAUUUUUUAGUUGCAUUCUCUUUCUGGUGACAUGUUUGAGAAUAAGGUCAAUUUAAUUUGGUCAAGAGUAAAGUUAGAUCAAUCAUGUUCGCCGCUUCUAGUGUAUGAUUCUGGUUUUUCUUUUCAGUGUUUUUGGCUGUUUUGGUUUCAUUUUUGCAGGGUUUCCUUAUUAUCUUGUAAACCAACAAUGACUGCGACGAUGUCAACAACAAUAUAUAGUAAUAACUAAGAAUCAAAAUAUUACAACAUGCAUAUAGUAUUCCUAAUUAUUAUUAUUUUGAACAAGAGUAUUCCUAAAUUAUUACAAACAGCAUUUGAUCCAUCAAACCUAAAUGAGGUUUGUACAAAGGAAUCAUCACCUUAAUAUUUAAGCUAAAACAACAUUCUUGAUUGGUUCCAUUAGAACAACAUUUUGAAGUAGAAAGUUCCAUCUGUUGUUGUUCAUGUGCAUUCAUCACUCCUUCGAUUGUGUUCAAAAUUUCUCCAACAUUUGGCCUAUUUUGUUGAGAACGUGACACACACAAGAGAGCAAUAUUCAACAAUGAAAAUGCACCUUGAUCAUGAUCAUUUUCUCUAACUUCCUUGUCAAACACUUCACCUGUCCAUUCUUCUCUCACCAUUGACCUCUCCCAUCUAACAAGGUCUAUUCUACUAACUUCUAUGCUUUGUCCUGUUAGUAGUUCUAGAAGAAUCACUCCGAAGCUAUAUACAACAUCUUUUUCGGUUAAACUCUUUUCAGGAGCUGUGUAUCCAUUAGAGGAAAAGAGAUUAGUACCUCUAUUUGGUUCAAAGAAUUUCGAUAAACCAUGUUCACCUAUUAGUGCUCAUUUUUGUCAUUUAGAAGGAUAUUUGAUUGCUUGAUGUUUCCAUGAGGAAUAAUAUUUUUCUCCCCUUCAUCCAACUUCUCAAUAAUAUUUAGAAGGAUAUUCGGUUCAAACAACUUCUCACAUUUCGAUACAUAUUUGGGAUCACAUAAAGGUGGUUAAUUAUGUGGAGUCUUGCAACUAAUCAAAAUUUAUAAUCUUAACUUAAUUACCAUUUAAAAGGUUGAGCAAACUUCCAUUGCUUUGAUAUUUGUAAAUGAUAAGUUUUUCUUCAUCGGUAGAACGAUGACCAACAAGAGGGAGAAUAUUCUUAUGUUUCACUUUACUUAUCUUCCUCAAUGUUUCUCCAAAUACAUCACAAGAUACCUGCAAAUUCUUCAAUCUUUUGACAGCAUAUUCAACAUUAUUCUCAAGUUUCACCUUGAAAAGACUACUCCAAAAGUUUUCACUUCUCAAAUCAGCUUUAGCUCUUAAUAGAUCCUCAAUUUUAAACCUCUCAUGAUCUUCAACAUUUAAAUGUACCAAUCUUCUGCAAUGCAAAAUUGAGUUUCAAAUAGUCCCUUUGAUAUUAUUGUUAGAUAAACUAACCACUUUUAGCUUUUGGAGUCUACAUAAUGAAUAUGCAUCAAAUAUGCCACUAAGGUUCAUGUUAUCAAGCCUUAUCUGUAUAAUAUGUGUAGCAUUUGAGUUACAUCUUACACCAUUGAUCAAACAUGGAUAUGAUGAUAUCUUGGUAAUGUUAAGUACAUUAUUUUGAUCAAUAGCUUUAAGGAAACUAAAGAAAGAAUGAGACUCUGAUGAUAAUGACUCACCUCUUGAACAUAACAUGACCAUAGAGAAAAUACUUAUGAUAGAAAAGUGAAAUAGCCUCCUUAGAAAUUGAACCAUUGCAAAAUCUAUUUUGUUCUUCAUUUCUUGACUUGUUUCAUUAACACUCUUGUUUUUUUAAAGGGUACCUUGAAUGAAUGAUGGUCAGUAACAUUGAUGAACUUGAUAAGGGUGCGGAAAGAGAGGGAUUCGAACCCUCGGUAAACAAAAAGCCUACAUAGCAGUUCCAAUGCUACGCCUUGAACCACUCGGCCAUCUCUCCUACAUAAUAUUUCGAAUUUUUCAUAUAAAUUGAGAAUCUAUUUUUCCUUUUUUAUUUAUCAUUUGGAAGUUUUUUUUUCUUUAUUUUUCAUAUAAAUUGAGAAUCUAUUUUUCCUUUUUUAUUUAUCAUUUGGAAGUUUUUUUUCUUUAUAUAUUGUUUCUAUGAUUUGGAUUGUUUGUUGUCACUGUUUCACGAAGUUUUACGCAUUAGUCAAUCUCGGCCAUUGAAAAACGAUCUGACGGCUCUAAUUCACCAGGACAAUUUCAUAGGUAAUAAUUUUGAUAAAGGAUGUUUAUGGAGACACUUGCUGGUGUUAAAUGGAUAUAUCCAUUGUGUUGAUCACAUAUCAAAAACAGAUGACUACCUUUAACAUAUCAAUUUUGGGUGAAUUAAGCGAGAAAGAAUCAUGGAACAAACUCUUCA